rnacentral:rRNA from 1 species
GAUGAACGCUGGCGGCGUGCCUAAUACAUGCAAGUCGAGCGAACGGACGAGAAGCUUGCUUCUCUGAUGUUAGCGGCGGACGGGUGAGUAACACGUGGAUAACCUACCUAUAAGACUGGGAUAACUUCGGGAACCCGUAGCUAAUACCGGAUAAUAUUUUGAACCGCAUGGUUCAAAAGUGAAAGACGGUCUUGCUGUCACUUAUAGAUGGAUCCGCGCUGCAUUAGCUAGUUGGUAAGGUAACGGCUUACCAAGGCAACGAUGCAUAGCCGACCUGAGAGGGUGAUCGGCCACACUGGAACUGAGACACGGUCCAGACUCCUACGGGAGGCAGCAGUAGGGAAUCUUCCGCAAUGGGCGAAAGCCUGACGGAGCAACGCCGCGUGAGUGAUGAAGGUCUUCGGAUCGUAAAACUCUGUUAUUAGGGAAGAACAUAUGUGUAAGUAACUGUGCACAUCUUGACGGUACCUAAUCAGAAAGCCACGGCUAACUACGUG